rnacentral:rRNA from 1 species
AUAGGUGGUCAAAAGUCUGAUUUACAUUCUUGUGAACUGGUUAAUGCGACUCUCGCAUGCUCGCCCACAGAAGCUAAGCUGGGCUGAGCCCUGUCAGUACCUGGAUGGAAGACCACGUGGGAAAGCAAGGUUGCUGCCGGAA